GGCCGGUUGGCCCAAUGGUAAGGCGUCUGACUACGAUUCGUGUGUUAUCAGGAGAUUCUGGGUUCGAGCCCCAGGCUGGUCA
rnacentral:tRNA from 1 species